CCGGUGAAAAUUAUCCGGUGAUCUAAACAAUGGCGACUCCUGCAUGGAGUCAUGCCAGGGGUCAAUGGGUAAUAGCCAUGUUGGCGUUACUCGUUGGCUCGGCAAUAGCUACCGAACCUUACUAUUAUAGCUCUCCUCCACCACCGUAUGAGUAUAAAUCUCCACCGCCUCCGGUUAAGUCUCCUCCACCUCCUUAUGAAUACAAAUCUCCUCCCCCUCCGGUUAAGUCUCCCCCACCACCUUAUUACUAUCAUUCACCGCCGCCGCCGGUGAAAUCCCCUCCCCCUCCUUAUGUAUACCAGUCUCCUCCUCCUCCGGUGAAGUCUCCACCACCACCUUAUUACUACCACUCUCCGCCACCACCUGUGAAGUCUCCUCCCCCUCCUUAUGUAUACAACUCUCCUCCUCCUCCGGUGAAGUCUCCUCCACCACCGUAUUAUUACCACUCUCCUCCACCACCAGUAAAAUCUCCUCCUCCUCCUUACUAUUAUCAUUCUCCACCACCUCCGGUGAAAUCUCCGCCACCACCAUAUUACUAUCACUCACCACCUCCUCCAGUGAAGUCUCCCCCACCACCAUAUUACUACCAUUCUCCACCACCACCGGUUAAAUCUCCACCACCACCUUACUACUAUCAUUCUCCACCUCCUCCAUUGAAGUCUCCUCCACCACCAUACUACUAUCACUCUCCUCCUCCUCCAUCCAAGUCUCCACCACCACCAUACUACUACUACUACUCUCCUCCUCCUCCAGUCAAGUCUCCUCCACCACCGUACUACUACCACUCUCCUCCUCCUCCGGUCAAGUCUCCUCCACCACCGUACUACUACCACUCUCCUCCUCCUCCGGUAAAGUCUCCACCACCACCGUACUACUACCACUCUCCUCCUCCUCCGGUUAAAUCUCCACCACCACCUUACUACUACCACUCUCCUCCUCCUCCGGUUAAAUCUCCACCACCGCCAUACUAUUAUCACUCUCCACCACCACCGGUUAAGUCUCACCCACCUCCAUACUACUACCACUCACCACCUCCUCCAGUGAAAUCACCACCCCCACCUUAUUAUUACUCAUCCCCACCACCACCAAAGUCUUACCCUCCACCAUACUACUACUCAUCUCCACCACCACCACCAAAGUCGUACUCGCCACCGUACUACUACUCAUCGCCACCACCUCCGAUGUCAUACCCUCAACCUCACCCACAGCCACAGCCACAUCCACAUCCACUUGUCUUCAAAGUUGUUGGUAAAGUGUAUUGUUACAGAUGUUAUGACUGGACUUAUCCCAAAAAGUCCCACGAUAAGAAGCAUCUCAAAGGUAACUAUGUCUUCCACGUGUUCAAUAAUUUAAUGUUUUAAUCUUAGCUAACUUAAUUACAGAAAAUAUGAUCCUGAUGAUUAUAGAAUGAUUAAAGGCUUAUAGGAUUUAAAUAAACUAGCAUAUAUGUAUUGUGAAGUGGUAGUUGCAAGUCUGGAUUAUUUAUUUAGUGGAGAAAAGAAAACGAUCAAGUCAAGAAAAAAAACAAAAAUCUGUUUUGACUAAAACAAUCGAGAGAGAUAGAACAAGCGAAAUCGAUUUAAAUGACAUAAAAUGAUAGUUUAAAUUUAAAUAAUUUGUUUUGUCAUAUAGGUGCUGUGGUAGAAGUGACGUGCAAGGCCGGUGACAAGACAGUGAAGGCAUACGGGAAGACCAAAAUCAACGGUAAAUACGCAAUAACCGUUAAGGGAUACAACUACCGUAAAUACGGUGGCGAAGUCUGCACGGCCAAACUCCACUCGCCACCUAAGGGAUCGCCGUGUAACAUUCCUACAAGUUACCAUUUGGGUAACAAAGGUGCUAAACUCCAUGUGAAAUCAAAGACAAAGUACGAGGUUGUGCUCUAUGCUAAGUCCUUUGCUUAUGCACCUAAGAAACCUUACGGAGAAUGCCACAAGCCGGCUCCUUACCAUCCUCCUUACUACUACAAGUCUCCACCACCACCUUCUCCGGUUUACUACUACAAGUCUCCACCACCACCAACUCCAACUUAUGUCUAUAAAUCACCGCCUCCACCAACCCCAGCGUAUGUCUACAAAUCGCCUCCUCCUCCUACCCCAACAUACGUCUAUAAAUCUCCUCCACCACCAACUCCGACUUACGUCUACAAAUCACCACCACCGCCUACUCCAACGUAUGUGUAUAAGUCUCCGCCUCCACCAACCCCUACGUAUGUCUACAAGUCGCCCCCACCACCAACUCCAACCUAUGUUUACAAAUCACCGCCUCCUCCUACUCCGACCUACGUCUACAAGUCGCCGCCUCCUCCUACCCCAACUUAUGUUUACAAGUCGCCACCACCUCCAACACACACUCCUACACCAUACUACUACCAUUCUCCACCACCACCAGUUAAAUCUCCUCCACCUCCAUAUUAUUACCAUUCGCCACCACCACCCGUAAAAUCUCCACCACCGCCAUAUUAUUAUCAUUCACCACCCCCUCCGGUGAAAUCUCCUCCUCCUCCUUACUACUACCACUCUCCACCCCCUCCGGUGAAGUCUCCUCCUCCACCUUACUACUACCAGUCACCACCCCCUCCCGUAAAGUCACCACCACCACCAUAUUAUUACCAUUCACCACCUCCUCCGGUCAAAUCUCCUCCUCCACCCUACUAUUACCAUUCACCUCCUCCACCGAUGAAAUCUCCACCACCACCAUACUACUACCACUCACCACCUCCUCCAGUCAAAUCUCCUCCUCCACCGUACUAUUACCAUUCACCUCCUCCACCGGUGAAAUCUCCACCACCACCAUACUACUACCAUUCACCACCUCCUCCUGUCAAAUUUCCUCCACCAUACUAUUACCACUCACCACCCCCACCGGUCAAAUCCCCUCCACCACCUUACUAUUACCAUUCACCACCCCCACCGGUCAAAUCUCCUCCUCCACCAUACUACUACCACUCACCACCUCCUCCGGUGAAGUCUCCGCCACCGCCAUACCAUUACAACUCUCCACCACCAGUAAAAUCUCCCCCACCUCCAGUAUACAUCUACGCCUCUCCUCCACCUCCUACCCAUUACUAGGCUCAUCAAAUUCAGCCACAUUCCCCCAUUAUUCAAGUAAAGACCCAACGCUUCAACAUUUUCAAUAUGCUCCAUAUCCAUAUCGAUAGAACUUUGUCUCAUUAUCUCAAUUUCUUCUUCG
rnacentral:lncRNA from 1 species